rnacentral:rRNA from 1 species
GAUGAACGCUGGCGGCGUGCCUAAUACAUGCAAGUCGAGCGAACAGACGAGGAGCUUGCUCCUCUGACGUUAGCGGCGGACGGGUGAGUAACACGUGGAUAACCUACCUAUAAGACUGGGAUAACUUCGGGAAACCGGAGCUAAUACCGGAUAAUAUAUUGAACCGCAUGGUUCAAUAGUGAAAGACGGUUUUGCUGUCACUUAUAGAUGGAUCCGCGCCGCAUUAGCUAGUUGGUAAGGUAACGGCUUACCAAGGCGACGAUGCGUAGCCGACCUGAGAGGGUGAUCGGCUACACUGGAACUGAGACACGGUCCAGACUCCUACGGGAGGCAGCAGUAGGGAAUCUUCCGCAAUGGGCGAAAGCCUGACGGAGCAACGCCGCGUGAGUGAUGAAGGUCUUCGGAUCGUAAAACUCUGUUAUUAGGGAAGAACAAAUGUGUAAGUAACUAUGCACGUCUUGACGGUACCUAAUCAGAAAGCCACGGCUAACUACGU